GCUGCUAUAGCUCAGUUGGUAGAGCGCAUCCUUGGUAAGGAUGAGGUCGUCAGUUCGACUCUGACUAGCAGCUCCA
rnacentral:tRNA from 1 species